CCGUGCUAGACGGGGAGAUGGCGGUGCCCUGUAACCUGCAAUCCGCCUUAGCAGGGUUUAAUUCCUAACAGAGGUAUGAGUCAGGUAAGGUCUGACUUGGACAAGUGGUGUUGACAACUAGGUCCUGCACAACAGAAACCUAUGAACAUGGUCAGGUCCGGGAAGGAAGCAGCCAUAAGUAGAUUCUUCUGUGUGUUGCAGCACAGCCCGGUCGAGCUAACUGUACAAGUAACGCUUAUUUGAUCAUGUCAAUGACGGGUGCACGG
rnacentral:SRP_RNA from 1 species